AGACGCCAUUACAGAGUGUACGAUCUCUGCAGGAAAACACAUAUUUGGAGGAUUUUAUGAAGAAAAGUGAAGAGACUGUACAUUGACUGAUGUUUGUUCUCCAGAGGGCCUACAGUGGUAACGAAGCUGCUCCCCUUGUUUCCAGGACGAAACUGUGACUUAGAAUCUAACUGAGACUCCAGUUGGGACCAACAGCUGAGAGCUUCACUCCCAGGGUCUGUCCUUGUAAUCCUACCCAAGGCCCAUGAUGCACUGGGGGGAGGGUUUCUACGGCGACUCUGACAGUCAACAAACAUGGCCGACGCUGCAGGGAGCUCUGAGCCACAUGAAAACAUAAAUGAUGGCUGCAGCAGAAUCGUCAGGUCGUCACGUCUCCACUAAAGCAAAAUAAACCUGCAUCAGUACAAGCUGGACAUCCCAUGAUCCCCAAACUGUAUGUGAUGCCAUGGAAACAGGACAUGAAGAACCAGAGGCUGCUGAUGAAGAACGCAGCUCUGGCUGGGAUCCCUGUGCUUCCUCUGGAGGAAUCAUUGUGUUUUUGUGGUCGGGAGCGUCUCUGCCACAGCCAGCACUCCACCCAGACCUCCUCCUCCUCCUCCUCCUCCUCCUCCUGGGCUCCUCUCAGCCAGACAGGACUGACAGCUCAUCACUCCUCCCACUUCUCCAGGUACAACAGCUCUGUGGUGACGACCAGACGGCUUUACCGAACCUGAGGACAGAUCAGUCCUUCCCUCCUUCUUCAUUAAAAUAGAAAUUCACUUGUUCCCACUGUGACCACAAGAGGGCGACAAAGAAAAGAAAAAAAAAAACAUUUAAAACUUGGACAACUAUUAUUACUAUUAUUUUAUAUAAGACAAUAAAGUUAAAUUUUGAAACAAACUUAACUUUUGCUGUAAUAUUUGUUUUCAUUCCUGUUUUCCAUUUUGAAUGUUGUGUCAAAGAGCUGUCACUGGUCAGAAGUGAUUAAAUUUACUUGUUAUUUAUGCAUUUCGGAGUCACAUGGGAGCAUGUGACCUAAAUGGGAGCAGCCUAUUUGCAUUAGGGGCACGGGCCCACCAGAGAGCGCUUCUGUACAGUGGAGGAUUAUAAACUUCAUCAGUUUUUCUGUGUCAAAUAUGUUGUUGCACAUAAGUUAAUAAAUAAUAA